UCCCAAAACCCUGGCCCCCUCCCCCCCUCCCCAAAUCCCAAAUUUUGGACUCCAAACCCGACUACGGCGCCGUCCUGGCCCAGCAGGGCCCCGUCCUCGACUCCCUGCGGCUCCUGGUGGAUGAGGCCCAGGAGGCCGGGAAGAUGGUGCUGCAAUUCCAGGAGCAGAGCAGCCGCUCCCUCAGGGACCUCUCGGAGAAGCUGGCUUCCAGAGCGUUCCGGCGGCUGCCGGGAUCCCCCGCGCGGCGGCUGCUGCAGAAGAUGCCCCGGAAGGCGCCGCCGGCGGAGGGGGAGGGAGAAUAAACCGGGAAAAUCCCGAAAUCUCUCGGUUUUGCCCCAAAAUA